CCUACGGGUGGCAGCAGUGAGGAAUAUUGGUCAAUGGGCGCGAGCCUGAACCAGCCAAGUCGCGUGAGGGAAGACGGUCCUAUGGAUUGUAAACCUCUUUUGUCGGGGAGCAAAAGACGCCACGCGUGGCGUUCCGAGAGUACCCGAAGAAAAAGCAUCGGCUAACUCCGUGCCAGCAGCCGCGGUAAUACGGAGGAUGCGAGCGUUAUCCGGAUUUAUUGGGUGUAAAGGGUGCGAAGGCGGAAGGUCAAGUCAGAGGUAAAAGGGGGGGGCGCAACCUAUGCGAGCCGUUGAAAAGGGGUGUCUGGAGUGGGCGAGAAGUAUGAGGAAUGCGUGGUGUAGCGGUGAAAUGAAUAGAGAUAACGCAGAA
rnacentral:rRNA from 1 species